AUACUUACCUGGCAGGAGAGGCAUGAUCUAGUGGGUGCGUUUCCUAAGGCGAGUCUUAACCAUUGCACAAACCCGGUUUUGAUGACCUUUAUGAAUUCCCCAAAUGUGGGAAUCUCAACUGCAAAAUUUCUGGUAGUGGGGGACUGCGUACGUGCUCGCCCCUG